GACGAACGCUGGCGGCGUGCUUAACACAUGCAAGUCGAGCGGUAAGGCCCUUUCGGGGGUACACGAGCGGCGAACGGGUGAGUAACACGUGGGUGACCUGCCCUCAGCUCUGGGAUAAGCCCGGGAAACUGGGUCUAAUACCGGAUAUGACUUCAUGACGCAUGUUGUGGAGUGGAAAGCCUUGUGCGGCUGAGGAUGGGCCCGCGGCCUAUCAGCUUGUUGGUGGGGGAUGGCCUACCAAGGCGACGACGGGUAGCCGGCCUGAGAGGGCGACCGGCCACACUGGGACUGAGAUACGGCCCAGACUCCUACGGGAGGCAGCAGUGGGGAAUCUUGCGCAAUGGGCGAAAGCCUGACGCAGCGACGCCGCG
rnacentral:rRNA from 1 species